AAAAUCUGAAUUAUCUCCCUUAAUGACAAUAAUCUAAGUCCUUUGAAAAAAACAUGUUUCCGUCCAUUUCAUAGAUUAUCAAUAUUUUAUUAUUGCCAGUUUUGUUUGAAUUUGUUUUAUUGAUUUUUUUUAGUUAAACAUAUUCUUUUAUGUGUAUAUUUAAUAAUUUAUUUGCAUUUUUUUUUCUGUCAUUGAAUGAAUGUAUUCUGUAGCAAUAUCAUGCAUUUACCACAAUAUUUAAUCCACCUAGGAUCAAAAUUGGCAUUUAGUACAAGCAAAUUUAUUUCAAUAGCGGAAAUCAAUACACAGGAAAAUGUUGACAAAUUCAGUCAAAUUAUAUCACCUACAUCUCGGAAGUAAUGAUACUAUUCUUCAUUUUGGUUUCGAAGAGUGUUGAUUUUUUUCUUUCUCUCUCUUAUUGUUUGUGUUUUUUUAAGAGUAAACAAAUACUGCAUUGUGUCAAAAGUAAAUUUGAUGGCAGAGUUUGUGACUAAGUAUGUUUAUACUUUGGACUCUGCUCAUAGCUUAGCCUUGUCGGGUGCAAGAUCUAUAAAAGACAAGCUGACCGAGUUUAUUUUGUAUAAGUGCAUGUCAAAGAGUUUACGUAUCACAAUGCAUGUGUUUGUUAGUCAGUCUGAUUUAACACAAAUUGUUUCUUUUCUUUCAGUACUAAAUAAUUUAUGAAUAUUAUCAUAAAACAUGUAUUUACAAAAAUAAAUUAUUUACAAAG
rnacentral:misc_RNA from 1 species